GAUGAACGCUGGCGGCGUGCCUAAUACAUGCAAGUCGAGCGAACGGACGAGAAGCUUGCUUCUCUGAUGUUAGCGGCGGACGGGUGAGUAACACGUGGAUAACCUACCUAUAAGACUGGGAUAACUUCGGGAAACCGGAGCUAAUACCGGAUAAUAUUUUGAACCGCAUGGUUCAAAAGUGAAAGACGGUCUUGCUGUCACUUAUAGAUGGAUCCGCGCUGCAUUAGCUAGUUGGUAAGGUAACGGCUUACCAAGGCAACGAUGCAUAGCCGACCUGAGAGGGUGAUCGGCCACACUGGAACUGAGACACGGUCCAGACUCCUACGGGAGGCAGCAGUAGGGAAUCUUCCGCAAAGGGCGAAAGCCUGACGGAGCAACGCCGCGUGAGUGAUGAAGGUCUUCGGAUCGUAAAACUCUGUUAUUAGGGAAGAACAUAUGUGUAAGUAACUGUGCACAUCUUGACGGUACCUAAUCAGGAAGCCACGGCUAACUACGUG
rnacentral:rRNA from 1 species